rnacentral:rRNA from 1 species
CAGCACCUCAAGUGGUCAGGAUGAUUAUUGGGCCUAAAGCAUCCGUAGCCGGCGCUGUAAGUUUUCGGUUAAAUCUGUACGCUCAACGUACAGGCUGCCGGGAAUACUGCAGCGCUAGGGAGUGGGAGAGGUAGACGGUACUCGGUAGGAAGGGGUAAAAUCCUUUGAUCUAUUGAUGACCACCUGUGGCGAAGGCGGUCUACCAGAACACGUCCGACGGUGAGGGAUGAAAGCUGGGGGAGCAAACCGGAUUAGAUACCCGCGAGUCC